rnacentral:rRNA from 1 species
ACUCAAAUGAAUAGACGGGGGCCCGCACAAGCGGUGGAGCAUGUGGUUCAAUUCGACGCAACGCGAAGAACCUUACCCAGGCUUGAACAGCGAAUGACAACGCCCGAAAGGGUGCUUCCGCAAGGACAUUCGUAGAGGUGCUGCAUGGCUGUCGUCAGCUCGUGUCGUGAGAUGUUGGGUUAAGUCCCGCAACGAGCGCAACCCUUGUUUGCUGUUGCCAUCACGUUAUGGUGGGCACUCUGCAGAGACUGCCGGUGAUAAACCGGAGGAAGGUGGGGAUGACGUCAAGUCAGCAUGGCCUUUAUGUCUGGGGCUACACACGUGCUACAAUGGCAGAUACAAACCGUCGCAAAACCGCAAGGUCGAGCUAAUCGGAUAAAGUCUGUCUCAGUUCGGAUAACAGGCUGCAACUCGCCUGUUUGAAGUUGGAAUCGCUAGUAAUCGCGGAUCAGCACGCCGCGGUGAAUACGUUCCCGGGCCUUGUACACACCGCCCGU